UCUCUCUCUCUCUCUCUCUCUCGCGUUUAGAGUCCUGUAAUUGAGCCUCAAGAUUACAAAUAUAUGGCUUAUAACUGGUGGAUUUGUCUUAUUAAGAAAAUUUUGAUUUAUGCCAGAGAAACCUGCUGUCUUAAUUAUUGAUGACUGUACAUGAUAUCCCAACUGAUUGUGAGUUUAUAUUUCUAAUUAUUAAUGACUGUCCUUGCUGUUGCAAGGGGCACAUGCACACAAAUAUAUGUUCCUCUGGUGCAUGCAAAUUCUUCUUUUCUUCAAUUUUUCCCUUGCAUUACUUUUGCAUUUUGUUUUUCUCAGUACUUAAUUUAUUUCAAUUUUUCUAUUAUAAUUUUAUCGACUGAGAAUUGUGAUAACAUUGAAAUUUUAGUGGAAGACCAGUGACAUUGAUAUUUGAAGUUGAAUUUUAUGUAAAUGUUAAUUUAUUUAUUUAUUUUUUUCAUUUGGAGAUGUGUUCUGGAGAAGGUUUGCAUGAUCCAAGUUUUUGUGUUCUUUUAUGCUUGUGGCAUCUGCUUGACUACAUGUACUUUAUUUCAAAGGUGUUGGUCAUGUGUUCUUUACUGUUGUAUGCAUUUAUUAUGGUUACUAUUCUAAGUAGGGAGAAACAUUUGCAUAAAAUAAGUUACACAGGAUUUAAGGUCCUAUAUAUUGUGUCCAAGCAUGGAUAAAGAACAAGCUUUUGUUGUUGCUAUAAAUUAUUGGUGGAUGGAAGCAUCUUUUACGUCAAUAAAUUUCUUUGUUAAAUUCCUAAAGUUGACUCUUGCAUAUUUGGACUUUUUUUGCUAGGUUUGAAGUUUACAUAUCUAGGUAUUGGUGUUACUUCAGAUGCAUUUAAAAUAAUGCUCAUCUCUUUUUAUCUAAUUCUUUUUAUUUAUACAUAGAGGGUUUAAUAAUUUUGAAUAGCUUAAAUUAUUACAUGCAAUGCGACCCUAUAAAUUUUAGAGUAAUGGAAAAUUUUAUCUUACUACAAAAUAGCUGCUUUCAUCAAUUCUCAAUCUAUUUAUAGAUGAUCUAUUGCUUUUCUUGUUCAGCAACAUAUUUAUUUGUUGCUCAUUUGAUCAAUAAUUUUCUCUUAUCAGAGCAUUGGAAAAGUUUAUUUUGAAUAUUUAUAGGCUUAAUGUACCAAAAAAAUCCUGAACUAUGAAGCUUUUAACAAUUUUCAUUAAUUUUUAGUUUUAUCUGAUAGGUGUCAGAACUAUUUUUUUCAUUAUAAUUAUAUCCAGCAUCAGUAUUUGCUCACAAUUCUUGUUAAAACAACAAUGUGAUGAAGUAGUGACACUCAUGAUUUUAGAAAUGAGAUUCUUAAAUCUUAAUUAAUGGUUAAAAAUUCUGAUAUACUUCAUUAAAAGUACCUUGAAUUAUAAAUAUGCACAUUUAAUUUGAUAUUUUUCAGUUUCAUGAAGUAAAUUAGGAUUUUGACUCUUUAACUAAGGUUGGUGAAUCUCAUUUCAUCAAAGUAUAGGUCUUGCAGGCCUAUUACGUCGUCAAUUUAACUGUAAUUUUAUGAAAUACUGACAGACUCCAUGGUUGUGAUAAAAAAAUAGUUUUGACCCCCAAUUUAUAAAAUUAAAAGAAUUGGUCAAAAUUUUUAUAAGUGUCAAAGUUGAGGAUUUUUUUUAUCUGGUUCUGUAUGAUGAUAAGUAGGUUCCUGGUGUUCGUUUGGCAUAAUGAGUGUUAUUUGCAGAUCAAGAUGCUGUUGAAAGUGCG
rnacentral:misc_RNA from 1 species